UACGUAGGUGGCAAGCGUUGUCCGGAUUUACUGGGCGUAAAGAGCGCGCAGGCGGUCGUUUCAAGUCGAGUGUGAAAGCCCCCCGGCUCAACUGGGGAGGGUCACUCGAUACUGAUCGACUCGAAGGCAGGAGAGGGAAGUGGAAUUCCCGGUGUAGUGGUGAAAUGCGUAGAUAUCGGGAGGAACACCAGUGGCGAAGGCGACUUCCUGGCCUGUUCUUGACGCUGAGGCGCGAAAGCGUGGGGGAGCGAACAGG
rnacentral:rRNA from 1 species